CGUAGGCGGCAAGGCAAGUCAGAUGUGAAAUCCCCGGGCUCAACCUGGGAAUUGCAUCUGAAACUGCAGUGCUUGAGUCCUGGAGGGGAUAGUGGAAUUCCCAGUGUAGCGGUGAAAUGCGUAGAUAUUGGGAGGAACACCUGCGGCGAAGGCGGCUAUCUGGACAGUGACUGACGCUGAUGCGCGAAAGCCAGGGGAGCGAACGG
rnacentral:rRNA from 1 species